rnacentral:lncRNA from 1 species
AGGAGUUCCUGUCCGUGCAUGUCCGCCACGAUGGGGUUAUGAUGGGGAUGCUGCCACCGCCGCCACCAGCCGAUGCACCGGGCUGGGUGUGAUUGCGCAUGUGACUAGUAGAGGAUGACACUUUUUGGAUGGCCGACACUAGAUGAUGGAUUGAUGUACAUGUCUGAUGUAAGGUUGGGUACUUUUGGGUUAUAGCCGAGCUUAGUUAAAGCCUUGGCCUUUUGUUGUACCGACUCGUGAUAUCCAUCAUAGUUAUGUAAAUAAAAGUGGUUCGGC